UUCGAGGUGCAGUCGAGCUCCGAUCGUCGUCGGAGAUGUACGCUUCAGCGUUCCGCGGCACGCGCUAUAAAUAGGAGCAGGCGGCGGCGCCGCGCGCUACUCCGGCGCCAGGGCUGUCCUCACCGAGUCAGGCGCUUGUUGGAGUACACUUACCGUGUCGGCGGUUAUCGUCCCGUCGUGUUACUACAAAGUGCUCCAGACGGUAGAACACGUGGUUUUGUGCGAACACGUGGCGACGGCGUCGAGUCGAGCUCCAGGCGCCGCAGCGGGAUGAGUUACCAGGGUGUCAGAAGGGUGUGAAGAUGGAUUCUCUGCCGAUGGCGAGCGGUGCGAUAGUGAAAAGUGGUUGACAAUUCGUUAUACAGGCGGUAGAAAAUGCAGACAGAAGUAGUCUCUCCUUAAAUCAAGCAGCUGGAUACAUAACAUAUACAGAUAAUAAAGUUGAAAUUUAUCCGUAUAUUUUUUAAUGUUAUGUCUGUAAUUCAAAAAUUUACUUUGAGUUGAGUUAACUAUGAUGAUAAUGUUAUUUCCUACUUUUUAAUAAAUCAUGAUUU